CGGGACACGUGGUAUCCUGUCUGAAUAUGGGGGGACCAUCCUCCAAGGCUAAAUACUCCUGACUGACCGAUAGUGAACCAGUACCGUGAGGGAAAGGCGAAAAGAACCCCGGCGAGGGGAGUGAAAAAGAACCUGAAACCGUGUACGUACAAGCAGUGGGAGCCUCUUUAUGGGGUGACUGCGUACCUUUUGUAUAAUGGGUCAGCGACUUAUAUUCUGUAGCAAGGUUAACCGAAUAGGGGAGCCGAAGGGAAACCGAGUCUUAACUGGGCGUUAAGUUGCAGGGUAUAGACCCGAAACCCGGUGAUCUAGCCAUGGGCAGGUUGAAGGUUGGGUAACACUAACUGGAGGACCGAACCGACUAAUGUUGAAAAAUUAGCGGAUGACUUGUGGCUGGGGGUGAAAGGCCAAUCAAACCGGGAGAUAGCUGGUUCUCCCCGAAAGCUAUUUAGGUAGCGCCUCGUGAAUUCAUCUCCGGGGGUAGAGCACUGUUUCGGCAAGGGGGUCAUCCCGACUUACCAACCCGAUGCAAACUGCGAAUACCGGAGAAUGUUAUCACGGGAGACACACGGCGGGUGCUAACGUCCGUCGUGAAGAGGGAAACAACCCAGACCGCCAGCUAAGGUCCCAAAGUCAUGGUUAAGUGGGAAACGAUGUGGGAAGGCCCAGACAGCCAGGAUGUUGGCUUAGAAGCAGCCAUCAUUUAAAGAAAGCGUAAUAGCUCACUGGUCGAGUCGGCCUGCGCGGAAGAUGUAACGGGGCUAAACCAUGCACCGAAGCUGCGGCAGCGACGCUUAUGCGUUGUUGGGUAGGGGAGCGUUCUGUAAGCCUGUGAAGGUGUGCUGUGAGGCAUGCUGGAGGUAUCAGAAGUGCGAAUGCUGACAUAAGUAACGAUAAAGCGGGUGAAAAGCCCGCUCGCCGGAAGACCAAGGGUUCCUGUCCAACGUUAAUCGGGGCAGGGUGAGUCGACCCCUAAGGCGAGGCCGAAAGGCGUAGUCGAUGGGAAACAGGUUAAUAUUCCUGUACUUGGUGUUACUGCGAAGGGGGGACGGAGAAGGCUAUGUUGGCCGGGCGACGGUUGUCCCGGUUUAAGCGUGUAGGCUGGUUUUCCAGGCAAAUCCGGAAAAUCAAGGCUGAGGCGUGAUGACGAGGCACUACGGUGCUGAAGCAACAAAUGCCCUGCUUCCAGGAAAAGCCUCUAAGCAUCAGGUAACAUCAAAUCGUACCCCAAACCGACACAGGUGGUCAGGUAGAGAAUACCAAGGCGCUUGAGAGAACUCGGGUGAAGGAACUAGGCAAAAUGGUGCCGUAACUUCGGGAGAAGGCACGCUGAUAUGUAGGUGAAGUCCCUCGCGGAUGGAGCUGAAAUCAGUCGAAGAUACCAGCUGGCUGCAACUGUUUAUUAAAAACACAGCACUGUGCAAACACGAAAGUGGACGUAUACGGUGUGACGCCUGCCCGGUGCCGGAAGGUUAAUUGAUGGGGUUAGCGGUAACGCGAAGCUCUUGAUCGAAGCCCCGGUAAACGGCGGCCGUAACUAUAACGGUCCUAAGGUAGCGAAAUUCCUUGUCGGGUAAGUUCCGACCUGCACGAAUGGCGUAAUGAUGGCCAGGCUGUCUCCACCCGAGACUCAGUGAAAUUGAACUCGCUGUGAAGAUGCAGUGUACCCGCGGCAAGACGGAAAGACCCCGUGAACCUUUACUAUAGCUUGACACUGAACAUUGAGCCUUGAUGUGUAGGAUAGGUGGGAGGCUUUGAAGUGUGGACGCCAGUCUGCAUGGAGCCGGCCUUGAAAUACCACCCUUUAAUGUUUGAUGUUCUAACGUUGGCCCGUAAUCCGGGUUGCGGACAGUGUCUGGUGGGUAGUUUGACUGGGGCGGUCUCCUCCUAAAGAGUAACGGAGGAGCACGAAGGUUGGCUAAUCCUGGUCGGACAUCAGGAGGUUAGUGCAAUGGCAUAAGCCAGCUUGACUGCGAGCGUGACGGCGCGAGCAGGUGCGAAAGCAGGUCAUAGUGAUCCGGUGGUUCUGAAUGGAAGGGCCAUCGCUCAACGGAUAAAAGGUACUCCGGGGAUAACAGGCUGAUACCGCCCAAGAGUUCAUAUCGACGGCGGUGUUUGGCACCUCGAUGUCGGCUCAUCACAUCCUGGGGCUGAAGUAGGUCCCAAGGGUAUGGCUGUUCGCCAUUUAAAGUGGUACGCGAGCUGGGUUUAGAACGUCGUGAGACAGUUCGGUCCCUAUCUGCCGUGGGCGCUGGAGAACUGAGGGGGGCUGCUCCUAGUACGAGAGGACCGGAGUGGACGCAUCACUGGUGUUCGGGUUGUCAUGCCAAUGGCACUGCCCGGUAGCUAAAUGCGGAAGAGAUAAGUGCUGAAAGCAUCUAAGCACGAAACUUGCCCCGAGAUGAGUUCUCCCUGACUCCUUGAGAGUCCUGAAGGAACGUUGAAGACGACGACGUUGAUAGGCCGGGUGUGUAAGCGCAGCGAUGCGUUGAGCUAACCGGUACUAAUGAACCGU
rnacentral:rRNA from 1 species